AGGACGAACGCUGGCGGCGUGCCUAACACAUGCAAGUCGAACGGGACCAGGGGCAACUCUGGUUCAGUGGCGGACGGGUGCGUAACACGUGAGGAACAUGACCUUCGGCGGGGGAUAGCCGGCCCAACGGCCGGGUAAUACCGCGUACGACCACUUGGGGACAUCCCUGGGUGGUGAAAGCAGCAAUGCGCCGAUGGAGUGCCUCGCGGCCUAUCAGCUAGUUGGUGAGGUAACGGCUCACCAAGGCGACGACGGGUAGC
rnacentral:rRNA from 1 species